ensembl:lncRNA
CUUUUUGGUCCAGAAGCACUGCAGUGAAUGGAAGGGCCUCUCACAGUCAAACUCCAUGGCGCCAAAAUUAAAACCAGCGUUAAGGAUGAAACCGGCAAUAAGGAAAGCAUCACCAGAUUUCUUUACAUUACUUAUUGCAGGACAGAAUUAUUUGAGCAGUAAUGCUUCCAGGACCUUUUGAUUCACCGGACAGAGACCAAUCCAAAACGCAUAAUGCCAGGGAAAAUAUAGAGUUAUACUCUGAAGGAUUUGGAAAAGACUAUUUAGCAAUCACAGCAGCACUUUGGCACUUGUGCGAGAGCGUUGCACGCCUGUGCGAGCACAACCUCGCGUCUCUUCCGUUGGACUUGACUUUGUCUGUAUUUGCAUCCAGCUGUCUUCCUGCACGAUAACCAGAACACCGGAAAUUUGCUGAGGAUGACACACACAAUCAAUGAGGAGAUUUUAGUCAUUGCAUCAAAUUAGCAAAUUCUCAAUCCUGACUAAGAUACAGCUAGAAAACGAGCUGCCAGCAACACCCUCUGAAGCAGAUGGUUCCCACCACUUGGAAUGCUCCUUUCUGUGCACUUCAGCAGCUCCUGAAAUAACAGAGUGCUGCAGAACGGAGAAGGAAGAUGACUGGAAAGUGAGACUCUUUCUUGUGGUUUGAAUGGAGGCACAUAGAAAUGAAAUGACUAUCUAAAGUCACACCAGUCUCCUUCUUUAACCUGGUAAAUGGACUACAAAUGACUUCUAUUGGAAGAGGAAACACAAAGAUGAAGCUAUGGCACUCAGAUUCCUGCAUUCGGACACUUUGUAACACAAAUGCAUUCCUGACUGCAGAUUUGUUUUUCACCCCCACUCAUUGUACUUGGCUUGCAUCAUGCCUUCUUCCUAAGAAGUCCUCUGGAAGGCCUCAGCUCCCCAGCCCCACUCUAUGAUAAGUCGCCGAUUUUCCAUCCUGCCUUUCUCGUGCUGAUUACAUCAUCCCCUUCCAGAGAAGUGAGUCCAGUGGACCAGAUCCAGAAUUCAUCGGAAGUGACAGGCGCCUGUCAAUGCCAACGCCCGUGGUCCUGGGCAGGGAGAGGGUAAAUGACAGUGAUAAGGGAAUUGCAAAUGGAUUAGUGGUCCCAGACAUGGCUUGAUGAUGGAAGGAGUGAUAGGAGUGACAAGCAGGUCUCCCUCCUCACUCCCUUGGGUGAUUGCCCCAUUACCUGCGUUUUAGGGUGUAAUAGUGUGAGUUUGGUGGGGAGGGGAUUUCAGGGGGAAUAACAGCAGGUUUUUCUUGAUUCUGGUUGUUUGGUGGCUGCUUGUGCCAUUAAAGCCCAGAGAACCAAGCUGUG